rnacentral:rRNA from 1 species
UGCUAUACAUGCAGUCGAGCGAACAGACGAGGAGCUUGCUCCUCUGACGUUAGCGGCGGACGGGUGAGUAACACGUGGAUAACCUACCUAUAAGACUGGGAUAACUUCGGGAAACCGGAGCUAAUACCGGAUAAUAUAUUGAACCGCAUGGUUCAAUAGUGAAAGACGGUUUUGCUGUCACUUAUAGAUGGAUCCGCGCCGCAUUAGCUAGUUGGUAAGGUAACGGCUUACCAAGGCAACGAUGCGUAGCCGACCUGAGAGGGUGAUCGGCCACACUGGAACUGAGACACGGUCCAGACUCCUACGGGAGGCAGCAGUAGGGAAUCUUCCGCAAUGGGCGAAAGCCUGACGGAGCAACGCCGCGUGAGUGAUGAAGGUCUUCGGAUCGUAAAACUCUGUUAUUAGGGAAGAACAAAUGUGUAAGUAACUAUGCACGUCUUGACGGUACCUAAUCAGAAAGCCACGGCUAACUACGUGCCAGCAGCCGCGGUAAUACGUAGGUGGCAAGCGUUAUCCGGAAUUAUUGGGCGUAAAGCGCGCGUAGGCGGUUUUUUAAGUCUGAUGUGAAAGCCCACGGCUCAACCGUGGAGGGUCAUUGGAAACUGGAAAACUUGAGUGCAGAAGAGGAAAGUGGAAUUCCAUGUGUAGCGGUGAAAUGCGCAGAGAUAUGGAGGAACACCAGUGGCGAA